AGAGUUUGAUCCUGGCUCAGAACGAACGCUGGCGGCGUGGCUAACCCAUGCAAGUCGGGCGCGAAUUCCGGGGAAACUCGGAUAGUAGCGCGGCGGAAGGGUGAGUAACGCAUGGAUAACGUACCCCGGGCACGAGGAUAGUCCACCGAAAGGUGGAGCAAGACUCGAUGAGACCACGCGGAGGCAUCUCCGAGAGGUCAAAGGAUGGGGACCCGCAAGGGCCUAUCGGCUUGGGAGCGGUCCAUGUCCCAUCAGCUAGUUGGUGAGGUAACGGCCCACCAAGGCUGCGACGGGUAGCCGGACUGAGAGGUCGACCGGCCACAUUGGCACUGAGACACUGGCCAGACUCCUACGGGAGGCUGCAGGGACGAAUAUUCCGCAAUGGGCGAAAGCCUGACGGAGCGACGCCGCGUGUGGGAGGAAGUCCUUCGGGAUGUAAACCACUGUCAGGGGUCGCCAAGCGAACGGCUUGAACAAAGCCGCGAGUUGAGGAGCCCCAGAGGAAGCCACGGCUAACUUCGUGCCAGCAGCCGCGGUAAGACGAAGGUGGCGAGCGUUGUUCGGAAUUACUGGGCUUAAAGCGCACGUAGGCGGCCCGUUAAGUGCCUUGUGAAAUCCCUCGGCUUAACCGAGGAACGGCUCGGCAUACUGGCGGGCUUGAGGCAAGUAGAGGCGCGAGGAACUCUUGGUGGAGCGGUGAAAUGCGUAGAUAUCAAGAGGAACGCCGGCGGUGAAGACGUCGCGCUAGGCUUGUCCUGACGCUGAGGUGCGAAAGCCAGGGGAGCAAACGGGAUUAGAUA
rnacentral:rRNA from 1 species